rnacentral:tRNA from 1 species
AAGAGGUUAGUUAAAUUUAACUUUAGCAUGUCAUGCUAAAAUUGCUGGUAGAAUCCAGCACCCCUUA